rnacentral:rRNA from 1 species
AUGAACGCUGGCGGCGUGCCUAAUACAUGCAAGUCGAGCGAACGGACGAGAAGCUUGCUUCUCUGAUGUUAGCGGCGGACGGGUGAGUAACACGUGGAUAACCUACCUAUAAGACUGGGAUAACUUCGGGAAACCGGAACUAAUACCGGAUAAUAUUUUGAACCGCAUGGUUCAAAAGUGAAAGACGGUCUUGCUGUCACUUAUAGAUGGAUCCGCGCUGCAUUAGCUAGUUGGUAAGGUAACGGCUUACCAAGGCAACGAUGCAUAGCCGACCUGAGAGGGUGAUCGGCCACACUGGAACUGAGACACGGUCCAGACUCCUACGGGAGGCAGCAGUAGGGAAUCUUCCGCAAUGGGCGAAAGCCUGACGGAGCAACGCCGCGUGAGUGAUGAAGGUCUUCGGAUCGUAAAACUCUGUUAUUAGGGAAGAACAUAUGUGUAAGUAACUGUGCACAUCUUGACGGUACCUAAUCAGAAAGCCACGGCUAACUACGUG